rnacentral:rRNA from 1 species
GAUGAACGCUGGCGGCGUGCCUAAUACAUGCAAGUCGAGCGAACGGACGAGAAGCUUGCUUCUCUGAUGUUAGCGGCGGACGGGUGAGUAACACGUGGAUAACCUACCUAUAAGACUGGGAUAACUUCGGGAAACCGGAGCUAAUACCGGAUAAUAUUUUGAACCGCAUGGUUCAAAAGUGAAAGACGGUCUUGCUGUCACUUAUAGAUGGAUCCGCGCUGCAUUAGCUAGUUGGUAAGGUAACGGCUUACCAAGGCAACGAUGCAUAGCCGACCUGAGAGGGUGAUCGGCCACACUGGAACUGGGACACGGUCCAGACUCCUACGGGAGGCGGCAGUAGGGAAUCUUCCGCAAUGGGCGAAGGCCUGACGGAGCAACGCCGCGUGAGUGAUGAAGGUCUUCGGAUCGUAAAACUCUGUUAUUAGGGAAGAACAUAUGUGUAAGUAACUGUGCACAUCUUGACGGUACCUAAUCAGAAAGCCACGGCUAACUACGUG